GGGGUUAUAGCUCAGUUGGUAGAGCGCUUGAAUGGCAUUCAAGAGGUCAGGGGUUCGAUUCCCCUUAACUCCA
rnacentral:tRNA from 1 species